rnacentral:rRNA from 1 species
GACGAACGCUGGCGGCGUGCCUAAUACAUGCAAGUGGGACGCAAGGAAACACACUGUGCUUGCACACCGUGUUUUCUUGAGUCGCGAACGGGUGAGUAACGCGUAGGUAACCUGCCUAUUAGCGGGGGAUAACUAUUGGAAACGAUAGCUAAUACCGCAUAAUAUUCAUUAUUGCAUGAUAAUUGAUUGAAAGAUGCAAGCGCAUCACUAGUAGAUGGACCUGCGUUGUAUUAGCUAGUUGGUAAGGUAAGAGCUUACCAAGGCGACGAUACAUAGCCGACCUGAGGGGGUGGUCGGCCAAACUGGGACUGAGACACCGCCCAGGCUCCUAAGGGAGGCAGCCGUAGGGGAUCUUCGGGAAUGGACGAAAGGCUGGCCGAGCAACGCCGGGGGAGUGAAGAAGGGUCUCGGGUCGUAAAGCUCUGUUGUAAGGCAAGAACGUGUGUGGGAGUGGAAAGUUCACGCAGUGACGGUAGCUUACCAGAAAGGGACGGCUAACUACGUG